CCCCCACUCACCCACCCUCUCCCCCUCCCCUCGACUCCCCAGAUCCAUCCUCGCGCUUGGUCGCGCCGCCCUCCUCCUUCUCUCUACGCUUAAUGGCUGGCACCGCAGCCUCGUCUCCACGGCCGGCACCGUACCCUCUACGCUGGCUCCGCAGCCCCUCCUACGACCGCGCCCGGAGCACGACGGCGCCGCUGUUGCGCGAACUAAUCCCCUCACCCUCCGCCGUCGUUGCCCUCUCGCCCUCCAACACCAUCCCCUCCAAUUCCCUCACCCUCCGCCGGCGACAUCCACCCUCCCCCUCGCCUUCUUUCCCUACAUAGGCCCAAGAUGGAGGCGGUCAGACGGCUCUCCAAGAUCCGCGACAGCCACAGCGCAUACGCGCCCCUCCACCUCAUCGUCACGAGAUUCGAGCUUGGCCGCGACGGAGGUGUUGGAGGUUUUCUCCUUCCCCACAAUCGUGCGCCGCGGGAGGUGCCCCCAUGUGUUUCUUCUCGGGCGACGACACAGCCAUGCGGUGGGUGGGAUUUGACGCCGCUCUUCCGCUCCGUGCGAGGAGGGAGCCGGCGAAGGCUCGGCUGCUCCGACUCCAUGGAGCCCUUCCAGGUCCCCUUCCCCUUCCCCUCUCGCUUCCCUUUUCAUCUGUGCCACCGCCCAUCUUCUGACCCAGCACUUCGUAUCCGAUCUGGUUCGCUCCGGAGGCACUGGGUUUGGGGAUUUCCCUUCUCUGAAACAUGUACGGUCGCUGAUGCUUGACGUGCUACCAUUCUUGUAGUUGCUAGCAGAAGCAGAGCAGCCCACUGGUCAUGGUGGUGCUAUUCUUGUAGUCAUAGUUUCACUUGUACUAAGGCCGAGUUUAGUCAAUGCCACUAUGCCAGUUAAUCUUUGUCAUGAUGAUUAGUUGAUGAACCACCCAGGAUUAUCCAUGAUGAGCCGCAGAUGUCUGGAUGAAGUGCGUAAUGAUGCAAUACCUUGAGGAGCACCCCAUCUCCCUGUGGACUGAGAAGAGCACCGAGAAGGAGCAGUUCGGUGUUGGCUUCUACCCCAUCUCCCUUGCCGAGAGGGUCAUUGUCAGCACGAAGCACAACAACGAUGAGCAGUACGUGUGGGAGUCCCAGGCUGGUCGUUCUUUCACCGUCACUUGUGAUACGUCUAGGGAGCAUCUCGGCAGGGGUACCAAGAUGGUCCUCUACCUCAAGGAUGACCAUUGCCUACUGUACUGAUAUGAAAGGUCAAGCAUGGAGGUUUCAAGAGCAUCCCUUCGUCCUGGCUUGGUGAGGGAUGCUCCACCAGCAUCUUGCUGCUUGGCGAUGGACGACAAGGACUUCCUCACGCAUGAGGUGUCUUCUAAGAUCUACGGUGACAAGGUGAAUGGAACUCCGUUGGUAGAACUCCGUUGAGGACUUCUACCCAUGUUGAAGAGCAUGUUCUGUGGUAUCCAAGAGUAGCUAGCUUUUGUACUGGCAGAGCAGUCUAUUUGUAGAUCCCAAUAUUUAUGAUUGUGUGGAUUUGGGUGAAGUUUGAAGUUCUUGGGUAUGCAAGAUUCGAUGGUUAAACUGGUUGAUGUGAUGUGAAUGAGUGUAUGGAAACUGGUUGGUGUGAUAUGAAUGAGUGUAUGUAGUUUCACGUGUUCUGUUCUGUAAUAAACUUAUUUUAGCUGUUAUUUGAAGAUUUUCAUAUGCUUUC